GACGAACGCUGGCGGCGUGCUUAACACAUGCAAGUCGAACGGAAAGGCCCUGCUUUUGUGGGGUGCUCGAGUGGCGAACGGGUGAGUAACACGUGAGUAACCUGCCCUUGACUUUGGGAUAACUUCAGGAAACUGGGGCUAAUACCGGAUAGGAGCUCCUGCUGCAUGGUGGGGGUUGGAAAGUUUCGGCGGUUGGGGAUGGACUCGCGGCUUAUCAGCUUGUUGGUGGGGUAGUGGCUUACCAAGGCUUUGACGGGUAGCCGGCCUGAGAGGGUGACCGGCCACAUUGGGACUGAGAGACGGCCCAGACGCCUACGGGAGGCAGCAGUGGGGAAUAUGGCACAAUGGGCGGAAGCCUGAUGCAGCAACGCCGCGUGCGGGAUGACGGCCUUCGGGUGGUAAACCGCUUUCGCCUGUGACGAAGCGUGAGUGACGGGAAUGGGUAAAGAAGCACCGGCUAACUACGU
rnacentral:rRNA from 1 species